AAGGCGUUAGUCUAAUAAAGACCUCUGAUUUCGGCUCAGAAAAUUAUGGUUAAAACCCAUAACCCCUUU
rnacentral:tRNA from 1 species